rnacentral:ncRNA from 1 species
GAGGUUCGCUUAGCAGCGAUUAAAAGGGAAUGGGGUGUGAGUCCCCAACUGUCCCGCAGCUGUAAGUUCCUUUAUCGUUCGCAUGCAGUAAAUCCACUGCCGUUGGCAUCUUAUUUAUAAGUAAGGUGUCGUUAAAGGCGGGAAGGGGCAUGCGGCGGAACGAAGUCAGAAGACCUGCCUCAAGG